UCUGGGGUUAAAAUCCUAUGCCUGCGACCCGCCCGCCUUUAGUUUGUUUUGCCACCUUGUGGCCCUUGCCUGCCAAAAGGUUGCCGACCGCUGAUCUA